rnacentral:rRNA from 1 species
GAUGAACGCUGGCGGCGUGCCUAAUACAUGCAAGUCGAGCGAACGGACGAGAAGCUUGCUUCUCUGAUGUUAGCGGCGGACGGGUGAGUAACACGUGGAUAACCUACCUAUAAGACUGGGAUAACUUCGGGAAACCGGAGCUAAUACCGGAUAAUAUUUUGAACCGCAUGGUUCAAAAGUGAAAGACGGUCUUGCUGUCACUUAUAGAUGGAUCCGCGCUGCAUUAGCUAGUUGGUAAGGUAACGGCUUACCAAGGCAACGAUGCAUAGCCGACCUGAGAGGGUGAUCGGCCACACUGGAACUGAGACACGGUCCAGACUCCUACGGGAGGCAGCAGUAGGGAAUCUUCCGCAAUGGGCGAAAGCCUGACGGAGCAACGCCGCGUGAGUGAUGAAGGUCUUCGGAUCGUAAAACUCUGUUAUUAGGGAAGAACAUAUGUGUAAGUAACUGUGCACAUCUUGACGGUACCUAAUCAGAAAGCCACGGCUAACUACGUGCCAGCAGCCGCGGUAAUACGUAGGUGGCAAGCGUUAUCCGGAAUUAUUGGGCGUAAAGCGCGCGUAGGCGGUUUUUUAAGUCUGAUGUGAAAGCCCACGGCUCAACCGUGGAGGGUCAUUGGAAACUGGAAAACUUGAGUGCAGAAGAGGAAAGUGGAAUUCCAUGUGUAGCGGUGAAAUGCGCAGAGAUAUGGAGGAACACCAGUGGCGAAGGCGACUUUCUGGUCUGUAACUGACGCUGAUGUGCGAAAGCGUGGGGAUCAAACAGGAUUAGAUACCCUGGUAGUCCACGCCGUAAACGAUGAGUGCUAAGUGUUAGGGGGUUUCCGCCCCUUAGUGCUGCAGCUAACGCAUUAAGCACUCCGCCUGAGGAGUACGACCGCAAGGUUGAAACUCAAAGGAAUUGACGGGGACCCGCACAAGCGGUGGAGCAUGUGGUUUAAUUCGAAGCAACGCGAAGAACCUUACCAAAUCUUGACAUCCUUUGACAACUCUAGAGAUAGAGCUUUCCCCUUCGGGGGACAAAGUGACAGGUGGUGCAUGGUUGUCGUCAGCUCGUGUCGUGAGAUGUUGGGUUAAGUCCCGCAACGAGCGCAACCCUUAAGCUUAGUUGCCAUCAUUAAGUUGGGCACUCUAAGUUGACUGCCGGUGACAAACCGGAGGAAGGUGGGGAUGACGUCAAAUCAUCAUGCCCCUUAUGAUUUGGGCUACACACAUGCUACAAUGGACAAUACAAAGGGCAGCGAAACCGCGAGGUCAAGCAAAUCCCAUAAAGUUGUUCUCAGUUCGGAUUGUAGUCUGCAACUCGACUACAUGAAGCUGGAAUCGCUAGUAAUCGUAGAUCAGCAUGCUACGGUGAAUACGUUCCCGGGUCU